UACGUAGGGUGCAAGCGUUAAUCGGAAUUACUGGGCGUAAAGCGUGCGCAGGCGGUUAUGUAAGACAGAUGUGAAAUGCCCCGGCUUAACCUGGGAACUGCAUUUGUGACUGCAUGGCUAGAGUUUGGCAGAGGGGGGUAGAAUUCCACGUGUAGCAGUGAAAUGCGUAGAUAUGUGGAGGAACACCGAUGGCGAAGGCAGCCCCCUGGGUCAAGACUGACGCUGAGGUGCGAAAGCGUGGGAGCAAACAGG
rnacentral:rRNA from 1 species